GGCAUGAGGGUGCGGAAGAGGCUCUGCUCCUGGUCAGUUUAUCAUGAAUGGGAUUCCUGGAUCCAGCCCUGGGAAUGCAGUCAGAGCCAUUUGAGAUAGAACUGGGAACAGGAAGCCCACUGUCUCAGAGGACUGGAUCAACAAUGGUGCUCCCCAAGUACCUGAAGGCUGCAGGAUCUCAGGGCAGUGAGGGAGAGGAAGGAAAGAACCAACGCCCUUUGUGCUCCAGGCCUGGGAUCAGGUAUUGUCACAUAUUGUCUUUUCUUUUCAUCUCCUCACUAGGGGAAGUGGGUAAAACUGCCCCAUUUCUAGGGAGAUGAAAUUGAAGCUAAGAGAGAUCAAAGAGACUCACCUAAGGUCACUCAGUGGAUAAGAGGCCUAAAUGAUCCUUCAUACCAGUCUUCUAAUUCUCUAUGAUAACUCUUCCUAAUGUUGUACACCUACAGUCUAUGCGAAAGCCAGGAUUUCUGGGAAGCACCACUGGUUUAUAAAGCAAUGAUGAAUAGUAUGUGCUUGGAGGGGCUCACACACACAUAGUGGGUCAUUGUGCCUUGUCUCCUUCUAUGCACUCUGGAUCUAGAUUCUAUCAGAAAUUUUCAUGGAAAGUCAGAUGAAUCCCAGACCUAAUUGGCAGCCUCCAUGCCUAUGGGCAUGGACAGGUGUGAGCAUAAUCAGACACAAACACACACACCUACCAAGGAAUCUUGGAACUGGAAGAAAAUUUGUAGGUCAUCUAAUGCAAAUCCCUGACUCAUGAACUAAAAUUCCAGGAAUGAAACUAGCUAGUUUUCUAGUCUAUGCUUGGAGAUUUAUGGACUAAGAGUUUUUACAAAAGGAGAAACUAUUAUAAGAAAUAGUAACAAGAGAUGUGUGGCCCCAACAACACACAGGCUUAUGUUGUAAGCACUCAGAUUAUGUGGUGGUAGUGGUCAUGAUGGAGAUGAUGUGCUGUCAGUAAUAGUGGUGGCAGUGAUGGUGGUUGUGAUGCACGUGGUGGCAGUGCUGAUGACUGUAGUGGCAGAGGAGGUGGCAGUAAUAGCUUUGGUGGCAUUGAUGGUGGCAGUGGAAGUGGUAGCAGUAAGGGUGGUGGUUGAAGCAAUGUUGGCUGAAGCAGUGAUGGUGCCCAGUGAUGGAGGAAUUGGUGGAAUGUGGUUGAAGCUGAAGGUGGUGGCGGAGGAGAGGUGGAGGUGAUAGGGUGGUGGUGGCGGUAGCGAUGGCGGUUACAAAUGGAGGGAAAGUGUCUCUAGAGGAAAAGGCAGGGAUACAGGUGGAAGUGCUAGUGGUAGUGGUCUUGGAGGGGACAGUGUUCUGCCCUCUAAGAUUUAGGGUAAGUUGAGCUCCCCAAAGCCUGAGGAGCGAGUGCACAGAGGGGGAGCUGCGGACCCAGCAUUGGUAGAGGGCCAGCUCCUUCCCAGGACACCAAACAACUGCCUCAAGUGCCUCCAUGUGGCUCAUUGCUGUGAGGAGAAUGAAAAUUCCACAGCUCUCACCUGGCCUGUCCAACUCAGGGUGCUAUCUAUCUGGCUCUGGUGGCUGCUCAGACUUGAACCUGCCUGGAUGUAACCAGUGUCCUCCAUUCCCAGGCAGCCAGACACGGGGC
rnacentral:lncRNA from 1 species